CUUUUGGCCUGAAAUUCAAGAACAAAAUAAAGCUCUAUCAUUUUUUAGAAUGAUCUAAAAAAGUAAGAGUGAAGGAGGAUAUUAAACCUUUUACAGUCCAACUUGCCUGCAAGGAUUGGUAAAGCCUGCUUCCAGGAAAUCUGGAGACAAGAGGGGUUCACUUAGUAACUUUUUUAACAGGAGAAUCGAUAGCUAAAAAUCAUUACAAAGGUAGGAGCUAGAGAAAUGGGUUAUUUGGAUAUCAAUGAUUCACUUAAAUAAGGUAAAUAGGAUUGUUCUCAGUCCAGCUUGCCAUCGAUAGUUUGACAUAACACUCCAUAUCCUUGGUUAUUUGAGCUUUGAGAUGUGAAGACUUGAAGAAAGCUCCCACAAGACCAUGAAUUCUCUUCUGCAAGCUCCCAUUUAUCAGCAAAAUAGAAGACUUCCCCAUCAAUUCUGUCAAAGAUUUCGGAUAAGACGGUACAAAGGCCUUGGCAUCACUCUGCAGAAUGAACUUACUGACUUCUGCAUCAGUAGAGACAAUGGCGACGACGCUUGUCCAUGAAGGUCUCGGGACGGUCCGAAUAAGCGCAGGAGAUGAACUCAAUAGUCUCACCAAUGAAAGGCCAGCCAAGAGAGCCCAAAGGAAGUUGGUUGCAGAAUUUUGAUCUGAGAAGUCUAAAGC